AUUCAAGUCCUACAAAAGUCCUUGAUCAACUGUCAAACAAAGCAAAAUUAUAAAAUAAAACAUGCUACAUAAAAGAUGAGUAGCUUCAUGAUCAGACUUUCUGUUGCAAGAUUAAGGGGAAUUCCACAAUUUAUUUAGUAGUUCUUUAAUUCCUGUUUUGCUUGCCCUCUGUUUCUCUUUUCAUUUAGUUCUUGCUUUCAAAUUACAGCAUUGACAUCCUUCUUGCUGUCUUUUCCGUGGAAGAAUCCAGGUAAAGCUGAUUUCAUUUUAUUCAUUUCUUUCUGAAGGAACUCUGCAUUUGUGACACCUUGUCUCUCGCCUGUCACAGUAACAAACACGUUUGUUUUAUGUUGCCUCACACCUAUAUUUAGUGCACUCUUCACAGCAAUCAGGAGUUUGGUUUGGCCAUAUCAGCAGGUGUGGUACUUUGUCACAAGUCCCAACACUAUAUCCUGUAUAUGGUGAUUGCUCAGCCAACUGCUAGCAGUGAUGGAGUCCUCAUGAAUCCUCACUGAGGUAGGAUCUGCAUUGCUAUUCAGUGCUCAGCACACAGUACUGGAAGGAGGGCUCAUACACACCAGGUCCCACAAACCUUCUGGCUCCCCUCACUUCAGCUCACUCUGUCUCCACCAGGCAGACUUUGUCGAUCCACUGCCACAUGUCUGAAGGCGGGCACCAGUCCCAGAAGGUCCAGAGCAUCUACUGGGGCAGAGCAGGUGGAGGAGGAUUUGGUAGACCCUACUGGCCUUCCAGAGCAGGGGAGCAGUAUUAGACCAGAGAAGAUCUGAUUCUGUGCUGUUUCAACUUGGACUUGGAAAAAUGGGCUUUGAAGGCAUCUGAGGGAGUGUUCUUCCAAGACAAGUGGACACCGCUGGUUAGUCACACCAAGAUGCUGGUGAAUGUUUGGCAAAGAUGCACAGAGAAGGUCUCUCCUUCUGGCCAAUGUACACCUAUUUCUGGAAAUAAGAGAGAACUACAAGGAAAUGAAAAUGUUAACGUGACAGCUCAGACUGGCAUAAAGGACUGCUUAGAUAAACAGCAUGAGGAAAGUUCAGCAAAGCUAAAUGAAGCUUGUCCUAUUGGGGUGUAGGAAUCAAUGUCAAACUCAAGGAUUCAGUUAUUUUUGAAGUAUCUUGACAAACUACGGAGGGUGCCAGAGGACUGAGGAAGAGCAAACACAGCGCCAGUCUUUUGUGGUGGGAGCAGGGAGGCAGCAGUGGUCUUGGCAAAUAUCACCCUUUCAGAGUAACUUCUGUUCCUGGCAACACGAUGGAAUAAACAGAAAUGAGGGGAAAAAAAGUAAGAAUGCAAAGGAUAAGAGAUCUGUGAGCAAUAGGCAGCAGUAUAUAUUUACAGAGAAUAAAUCACAUCUAAAUAAAUCUGAUUACUUUCUUUUGGUUUAAUUUACAAAAUUAGUGAAGAGAAUAACUCAAACAUAAUAUAGAUAUGGACUCUGGCAAAACUUUCGAUAUGCCGCUCUGUAAAACAGUACAUGAAAACUGAACCGGUAUUGCCUUGAAUGUGAGUGCAGCUACAUCGGUUAAGAAAACCCCAAACGCCCUUCUGGAAAAAAAAAAAAAACAAACAAACCAAACAGAAA